AUUUGAAUAGCUUAAACUAGAGCAUAACACUGAAGAUGUUAAGGUGAUUAGAUAAUCUUUAAAUA
rnacentral:tRNA from 1 species